ACUUAACUGAACCUUCGGGGAACGUUAAGGGCGUCGAGCGGCGGACGGGUGAGUAAUGCCUAGGAAAUUGCCCUGAUGUGGGGGAUAACCAUUGGAAACGAUGGCUAAUACCGCAUGAUGCCUACGGGCCAAAGAGGGGGACCUUCGGGCCUCUCGCGUCAGGAUAUGCCUAGGUGGGAUUAGCUAGUUGGUGAGGUAAUGGCUCACCAAGGCGACGAUCCCUAGCUGGUCUGAGAGGAUGAUCAGCCACACUGGAACUGAGACACGGUCCAGACUCCUACGGGAGGCAGCAGUGGGGAAUAUUGCACAAUGGGCGCAAGCCUGAUGCAGCCAUGCCGCGUGUGUGAAGAAGGCCUUCGGGUUGUAAAGCACUUUCAGUCGUGAGGAAGGUGGUAGUGUUAAUAGCACUAUCAUUUGACGUUAGCGACAGAAGAAGCACCGGCUAACUCCGUGCCAGCAGCCGCGGUAAUACGGAGGGUGCGAGCGUUAAUCGGAAUUACUGGGCGUAAAGCGCAUGCAGGUGGUUUGUUAAGUCAGAUGUGAAAGCCCGGGGCUCAACCUCGGAAUAGCAUUUGAAACUGGCAGACUAGAGUACUGUAGAGGGGGGUAGAAUUUCAGGUGUAGCGGUGAAAUGCGUAGAGAUCUGAAGGAAUACCGGUGGCGAAGGCGGCCCCCUGGACAGAUACUGACACUCAGAUGCGAAAGCGUGGGGAGCAAACAGGAUUAGAUACCCUGGUAGUCCACGCCGUAAACGAUGUCUACUUGGAGGUUGUGGCCUUGAGCCGUGGCUUUCGGAGCUAACGCGUUAAGUAGACCGCCUGGGGAGUACGGUCGCAAGAUUAAAACUCAAAUGAAUUGACGGGGGCCCGCACAAGCGGUGGAGCAUGUGGUUUAAUUCGAUGCAACGCGAAGAA
rnacentral:rRNA from 1 species